AAAGGAGUAUCCGUACUCUUCAACCCUUUGUGAACUUACCCUCUGUCAGUUGCUUCGGCGGGAGGCCCCUGGGAGGGGCCCCGGGGCCCGGUCCUGAGCCGGGCUCCCGCCGGGGGAGCGCAACCAAAACUCUUGCUGUACCUCAGUGGCACCUCCGAGUAAAUACAAAAAAACAAGUUAAAACUUUCAACAACGGAUCUCUUGGUUCU
rnacentral:misc_RNA from 1 species